rnacentral:tmRNA from 1 species
GUCCGCUGUUAAUCGGUUAAAUUAAGCGGAAUCGCUUGUAAAAUGCCUGAGCGUUGGCUGUUUAUGAGUUAAACCUAAUUAACUGCUCUAAACAUGUAGUACCAAAAGUUAAGGAUUCGCGGACGGGGGUUCAAAUCCCCCCGCCUCCACCA